rnacentral:rRNA from 1 species
GGUGCUGCAUGGUUGUCGUCAGCUCGUGCCGUGAGGUGUCCGGGUUAAGUCCCAUAACGAGCGCAACCCCUAUCAUUAGUUGCCAUCAGGUCAAGCUGGGGACUCUAAUGAAACUGCCUACGCAAGUAGUGAGGAAGUGGGGAUGACGUCAAAUCAGCACGGCCCUUACGUCCAGGGCUACACACGUGCUACAAUGGCCGAUACAGAGGGCAGCUACCUGGUGACAGGAUGCAAAUCUCCAAAGUCGGUCUCAGUUCGGAUCGGAGUCUGCAACCCGACUCCGUGAAGUUGGAUUCGCUAGUAAUCGCGCAUCAGCCAUGGCGCGGUGAAUACGUUCCCGGGCCUU